rnacentral:rRNA from 1 species
GAUGAACGCUGGCGGCGUGCCUAAUACAUGCAAGUCGAGCGAACAGACGAGGAGCUUGCUCCUUUGACGUUAGCGGCGGACGGGUGAGUAGCACGUGGAUAACCUACCUAUAAGACUGGGAUAACUUCGGGAAACCGGAGCUAAUACCGGAUAACAUGUUGAACCGCAUGGUUCAACAGUGAAAGACGGUCUUUCUGUCACUUAUAGAUGGAUCCGCGCCGCAUUAGCUAGUUGGUAAGGUAACGGCUUACCAAGGCAACGAUGCGUAGCCGACCUGAGAGGGUGAUCGGCCACACUGGAACUGAGACACGGUCCAGACUCCUACGGGAGGCAGCAGUAGGGAAUCUUCCGCAAUGGGCGAAAGCCUGACGGAGCAACGCCGCGUGAGUGAAGAAGGUCUUCGGAUCGUAAAACUCUGUUAUUAGGGAAGAACAAAUGUGUAAGUAACUAUGCACGUCUUGACGGUACCUAAUCAGAAAGCCACGGCUAACUACGUG